rnacentral:rRNA from 1 species
CCUACGGGUGGCAGCAGUGAGGAAUAUUGGUCAAUGGGCGGAAGCCUGAACCAGCCAAGUAGCGUGCAGGAUGACGGCCCUACGGGUUGUAAACUGCUUUUAUACGGGAAUAACGCGCCUUACGUGUAGGGCUUUGCAUGUACCGUAUGAAUAAGGACCGGCUAAUUCCGUGCCAGCAGCCGCGGUAAUACGGAAGGUCCGGGCGUUAUCCGGAUUUAUUGGGUUUAAAGGGAGCGUAGGGCGCAUGUCAAGCGGGCUGUGAAAGGGGGGGGCUCAACCGGGGACUUGCAGCGGAAAGUGGCAGGAUUGAGGAAAGGAGAGGUCGGAGGAAUGAGUGGGGU